UCAAACAAAUCAGUUGAUAAAAUCAGUUUCGUGAGAAGUGCGGUUUAGCCAGUGUGUGGCUGUUGUUGAUCGCGUAGUUCGGCAGAACAGGUUGUCCAUAAUUCCUUAGGGCCUCCCAUGCACGUUCAGGCUGGCGUCAAAGGCGGAUGACACGGACCGGCCGCCGCCGCCGUCUUACGGCCGUGGCGGCGGACUGAAGUUCCGCAAGCGCGGUACAGGUGGCGCUACCGGUGUAGCGACCGAGGGCGCGCGCGGCGUGCGCCGUGAGAACGGCCGCAAGUACGAGGGCGAGCGCGCCUUCCGGUCCAAGUACCGGUCUGAGGGUCAGCGGCGCGGCGGUCGCGGCGGCGGCGGCGGGACGCACGCGUCCGGUCACAGGGAACAUGAUGACGGGCCGCGCGCCGCGCACAAGGAGUCGGAC